AUACGGAGGGUGCAAGCGUUAUCCGGAAUCACUGGGCGUAAAGGGCGCGUAGGUGGUCUAUUAAGUCUGGCGUUAAAGCCUGGGGCUCAACACCAGAUCAGCGUUGGAUACUGGCAGGCUAGACGGUUGGAGAGGCGAGUGGAAUUACCAGUGUAGCGGUGGAAUGCGUAGAUACUGGUAGGAACACCCAUUGCGAAGGCAGCUCGCUGGACAACACGUGACACUGAGGCGCGAAAGUGUGGGGAGCAAACCGGAUUAGAUACCCGGGUAGUCCACACCCUAAACGAUGCAUACUUGGUAUUGGCCCGUUGGGGUCAGUGCCGGAGCUAACGUGUUAAGUAUGCCGCCUGGGAAGUACGGCCGCAAGGUUGAA
rnacentral:rRNA from 1 species